GACGAACGCUGGCGGCGUGCUUAACACAUGCAAGUCGAGCGGUAAGGCCUUUUCGGGGGUACACGAGCGGCGAACGGGUGAGUAACACGUGGGUGACCUGCCUUCAGCUCUGGGAUAAGCCUGGGAAACUGGGUCUAAUACCGGAUAUGACUCCAUGAUGCAUGUUGUGGGGUGGAAAGCUUUUGCGGCUGGAGAUGGGCCCGCGGCCUAUCAGCUUGUUGGUGGGGUGAUGGCCUACCAAGGCGACGACGGGUAGCCGGCCUGAGAGGGCGACCGGCCACACUGGGACUGAGACACGGCCCAGACUCCUACGGGAGGCAGCAGUGGGGAAUCUUGCGCAAUGGGCGAAAGCCUGACGCAGCGACGCCGCGUGAGGGAUGACGGCCUCGGUGUAA
rnacentral:rRNA from 1 species